AGUCACUGACAUUAGAUACCCGUGUAGUCCUAGCCGUAAACGAUACUCGCUAGGUGUCGGCCACGGUGCGACCGUUGUCGGUGCCGUAGGGAAGCCGUGAAGCGAGCCACCUGGGAAGUACGGCCGCAAGGCUGAAACUUAAAGGAAUUGGCGGGGGAGCACCACAACGGGUGGAGCUUGCGGUUUAAUUGGAUUCAACGCCGGAAAUCUUACCGGGACCGACAGCAACAUGAAGGCCAAGCUGAAGACUUUGCCGGAUUAGCUG
rnacentral:rRNA from 1 species